CGAUGAUCCGGUGCUUGCACCGGGGAUUAGUGGCGAACGGGUGAGUAACACGUGAGUAACCUGCCCUUAACUCUGGGAUAAGCCUGGGAAACUGGGUCUAAUACCGGAUAUGACUGAUCAUCGCAUGGUGGUUGGUGGAAAGCUUUUUGUGGUUUUGGAUGGACUCGCGGCCUAUCAGCUUGUUGGUGAGGUAAUGGCUUACCAAGGCGACGACGGGUAGCCGGCCUGAGAGGGUGACCGGCCACACUGGGACUGAGACACGGCCCAGACUCCUACGGGAGGCAGCAGUGGGGAAUAUUGCACAAUGGGCGCAAGCCUGAUGCAGCGACGCCGCGUGAGGGAUGACGGCCUUCGGGUUGUAAACCUCUUUCAGUAGGGAAGAAGCGAAAGUGACGGUACCUGCAGAAGAAGCGCCGGCUAACUACGUGCCAGCAGCCGCGGUAAUACGUAGGGCGCAAGCGUUAUCCGGAAUUAUUGGGCGUAAAGAGCUCGUAGGCGGUUUGUCGCGUCUGCCGUGAAAGUCCGGUGCUCAACUCCGGAUCUGCGGUGGGUACGGGCAGACUAGAGUGAUGUAGGGGAGACUGGAAUUCCUGGUGUAGCGGUGAAAUGCGCAGAUAUCAGGAGGAACACCGAUGGCGAAGGCAGGUCUCUGGGCAUUAACUGACGCUGAGGAGCGAAAGCAUGGGGAG
rnacentral:rRNA from 1 species